rnacentral:rRNA from 1 species
GGGUUGUGAGGUUAAGCGACUAAGCGUACACGGUGGAUGCCCUGGCAGUCAGAGGCGAUGAAGGACGUGCUAAUCUGCGAUAAGCGUCGGUAAGGUGAUAUGAACCGUUAUAACCGGCGAUUUCCGAAUGGGGAAACCCAGUGUGAUUCGUCACACUAUCAUUAACUGAAUCCAUAGGUUAAUGAGGCGAACCGGGGGAACUGAAACAUCUAAGUACCCCGAGGAAAAGAAAUCAACCGAGAUUCCCCCAGUAGCGGCGAGCGAACGGGGAGCAGCCCAGAGCCUGAAUCAGUGUGUGUGUUAGUGGAAGCGUCUGGAAAGGCGCGCGAUACAGGGUGACAGCCCCGUACACAAAAAUGCACAUGCUGUGAGCUCGAUGAGUAGGGCGGGACACGUGGUAUCCUGUCUGAAUAUGGGGGGACCAUCCUCCAAGGCUAAAUACUCCUGACUGACCGAUAGUGAACCAGUACCGUGAGGGAAAGGCGAAAAGAACCCCGGCGAGGGGAGUGAAAAAGAACCUGAAACCGUGUACGUACAAGCAGUGGGAGCACGCUUAGGCGUGUGACUGCGUACCUUUUGUAUAAUGGGUCAGCGACUUAUAUUCUGUAGCAAGGUUAACCGAAUAGGGGAGCCGAAGGGAAACCGAGUCUUAACUGGGCGUUAAGUUGCAGGGUAUAGACCCGAAACCCGGUGAUCUAGCCAUGGGCAGGUUGAAGGUUGGGUAACACUAACUGGAGGACCGAACCGACUAAUGUUGAAAAAUUAGCGGAUGACUUGUGGCUGGGGGUGAAAGGCCAAUCAAACCGGGAGAUAGCUGGUUCUCCCCGAAAGCUAUUUAGGUAGCGCCUCGUGAAUUCAUCUCCGGGGGUAGAGCACUGUUUCGGCAAGGGGGUCAUCCCGACUUACCAACCCGAUGCAAACUGCGAAUACCGGAGAAUGUUAUCACGGGAGACACACGGCGGGUGCUAACGUCCGUCGUGAAGAGGGAAACAACCCAGACCGCCAGCUAAGGUCCCAAAGUCAUGGUUAAGUGGGAAACGAUGUGGGAAGGCCCAGACAGCCAGGAUGUUGGCUUAGAAGCAGCCAUCAUUUAAAGAAAGCGUAAUAGCUCACUGGUCGAGUCGGCCUGCGCGGAAGAUGUAACGGGGCUAAACCAUGCACCGAAGCUGCGGCAGCGACGCUUAUGCGUUGUUGGGUAGGGGAGCGUUCUGUAAGCCUGUGAAGGUGUGCUGUGAGGCAUGCUGGAGGUAUCAGAAGUGCGAAUGCUGACAUAAGUAACGAUAAAGCGGGUGAAAAGCCCGCUCGCCGGAAGACCAAGGGUUCCUGUCCAACGUUAAUCGGGGCAGGGUGAGUCGACCCCUAAGGCGAGGCCGAAAGGCGUAGUCGAUGGGAAACAGGUUAAUAUUCCUGUACUUGGUGUUACUGCGAAGGGGGGACGGAGAAGGCUAUGUUGGCCGGGCGACGGUUGUCCCGGUUUAAGCGUGUAGGCUGGUUUUCCAGGCAAAUCCGGAAAAUCAAGGCUGAGGCGUGAUGACGAGGCACUACGGUGCUGAAGCAACAAAUGCCCUGCUUCCAGGAAAAGCCUCUAAGCAUCAGGUAACAUCAAAUCGUACCCCAAACCGACACAGGUGGUCAGGUAGAGAAUACCAAGGCGCUUGAGAGAACUCGGGUGAAGGAACUAGGCAAAAUGGUGCCGUAACUUCGGGAGAAGGCACGCUGAUAUGUAGGUGAAGUCCCUCGCGGAUGGAGCUGAAAUCAGUCGAAGAUACCAGCUGGCUGCAACUGUUUAUUAAAAACACAGCACUGUGCAAACACGAAAGUGGACGUAUACGGUGUGACGCCUGCCCGGUGCCGGAAGGUUAAUUGAUGGGGUUAGCGGUAACGCGAAGCUCUUGAUCGAAGCCCCGGUAAACGGCGGCCGUAACUAUAACGGUCCUAAGGUAGCGAAAUUCCUUGUCGGGUAAGUUCCGACCUGCACGAAUGGCGUAAUGAUGGCCAGGCUGUCUCCACCCGAGACUCAGUGAAAUUGAACUCGCUGUGAAGAUGCAGUGUACCCGCGGCAAGACGGAAAGACCCCGUGAACCUUUACUAUAGCUUGACACUGAACAUUGAGCCUUGAUGUGUAGGAUAGGUGGGAGGCUUUGAAGUGUGGACGCCAGUCUGCAUGGAGCCGACCUUGAAAUACCACCCUUUAAUGUUUGAUGUUCUAACGUUGACCCGUGAUCCGGGUUGCGGACAGUGUCUGGUGGGUAGUUUGACUGGGGCGGUCUCCUCCUAAAGAGUAACGGAGGAGCACGAAGGUUGGCUAAUCCUGGUCGGACAUCAGGAGGUUAGUGCAAUGGCAUAAGCCAGCUUGACUGCGAGCGUGACGGCGCGAGCAGGUGCGAAAGCAGGUCAUAGUGAUCCGGUGGUUCUGAAUGGAAGGGCCAUCGCUCAACGGAUAAAAGGUACUCCGGGGAUAACAGGCUGAUACCGCCCAAGAGUUCAUAUCGACGGCGGUGUUUGGCACCUCGAUGUCGGCUCAUCACAUCCUGGGGCUGAAGUAGGUCCCAAGGGUAUGGCUGUUCGCCAUUUAAAGUGGUACGCGAGCUGGGUUUAGAACGUCGUGAGACAGUUCGGUCCCUAUCUGCCGUGGGCGCUGGAGAACUGAGGGGGGCUGCUCCUAGUACGAGAGGACCGGAGUGGACGCAUCACUGGUGUUCGGGUUGUCAUGCCAAUGGCACUGCCCGGUAGCUAAAUGCGGAAGAGAUAAGUGCUGAAAGCAUCUAAGCACGAAACUUGCCCCGAGAUGAGUUCUCCCUGACUCCUUGAGAGUCCUGAAGGAACGUUGAAGACGACGACGUUGAUAGGCCGGGUGUGUAAGCGCAGCGAUGCGUUGAGCUAACCGGUACUAAUGAACCGUGAGGCUUAACCUUACAACGCCGAAGCUGUU